GGGCCCCAGAGCCGCUCUGACGUCUCAACUCAGAAGAGCGGCACAGCCUUCUGGGAAAUGUAGCUUUGGAGCCAGAAACCACGGUCUCCGGGCCCGCUCAACUCAUCGCCCCCCGGCUUGUUGUCGAAAUAUUUUGGAUCACUCUGAGGGAUCCCAACACCACAUCCAAAGGACACUCCAGCAACCUGUGGAGAGAGGUUCACACGGUAAGAAACUGAGGCUUGCCAACAGUCUGCAACAAUUUGCCACCCACAAGAGAGAUCGAGCACUUCAGCGCUCGGUGACGCCUUGACUGCAAUCUUAUGAGAGACCUCUAGCUAGAACAACACAGAUUACUCAGACAUGUUGUACAAUAAUAAAAGUUUAUUGUUGCUUUAAGUCACUAA